rnacentral:rRNA from 1 species
UACGUAGGGGGCAAGCGUUGUCCGGAAUCAUUGGGCGUAAAGCGCGUGUAGGCGGCUCGGUAAGUCCGCUCUGAAAGCCCGGGGCUCAACCCCGGGAGGCGGGUGGAUACUGCUGAGCUCGAGUCCGGAAGAGGAGUGUGGAAUUCCUGGUGUAGCGGUGAAAUGCGCAGAUAUCAGGAGGAACACCAAUGGCGAAGGCAGCACUCUGGGACGGUACUGACGCUGAGACGCGAAAGCGUGGGGAUCAAACGGG